GUGAAUCAGUCUAGCAGAAAAGACUCAACUAUGCGUAGAUAUAGAUGCACAUAGUUGAGUCUUUCCUGCUAGGUUGUUUUA
rnacentral:pre_miRNA from 1 species